rnacentral:rRNA from 1 species
GCUGCAUGGCUGUCGGUCAGCUCGUGUCGUGAGAUGUUGGGUUAAGUCCCGUAACGAGCGCAACCCUUGUCCUUAGUUACCAGCACGUUAUGGUGGGCACUCUAAGGAGACUGCCGGUGACAAACCGGAGGAAGGUGGGGAUGACGUCAAGUCAUCAUGGCCCUUACGGCCUGGGCUACACACGUGCUACAAUGGUCGGUACAAAGGGUUGCCAAGCCGCGAGGUGGAGCUAAUCCCAUAAAACCGAUCGUAGUCCGGAUCGCAGUCUGCAACUCGACUGCGUGAAGUCGGAAUCGCUAGUAAUCGUGAAUCAGAAUGUCACGGUGAAUACGUUCCCGGGCCUU